rnacentral:rRNA from 1 species
UGGGGAAUAUUGGACAAUGGGCGCAAGCCUGAUCCAGCAAUGCCGCGUGUGUGAAGAAGGCCUUCGGGUUGUAAAGCACUUUUAUCAGGAGCGAAACGCUGUCGGCUAAUACCCGGCGGAACUGACGGUACCUGAGGAAUAAGCACCGGCUAACUUCGUGCCAGCAGCCGCGGUAAUACGAAGGGUGCAAGCGUUAAUCGGAAUUACUGGGCGUAAAGCGUGCGUAGGCGGUUUCUUAAGUCUGCUGUGAAAUCCCCGGGCUCAACCUGGGAAUGGCAGUGGAUACUGGGAGGCUAGAGUGUGUCAGAGGGGUGGGUGGAAUUCCCGGUGUAGCGGUGAAAUGCGUAGAGAUCGGGAGGAACAUCAGUGGCGAAGGCGGCCAACCUGGGACAACACUGACGCUGAGGCACGAAAGCGUGGGGAGCAAACAGGGAUUAGAUACCCUGGUAGUCCACGCCCUAAACGAUGCGAACUGGAUGUUGGUCUCAACUCGGAGAUCAGUGUCGGAAGCUAACGCGUUAAGUUUCGCCGCCCUGGGGGAGUACGGGUCGCAAGACUGAAAC